rnacentral:lncRNA from 1 species
GAAAUAUGAACUUACCCUUAAUGGAAGAAUCUCUGAAUGAAAUUGAAAACAAUUCAGAACUCUUGCCAAAGGAAAUUGACCAACUUCAAGAUUUCAUAACAGCAUUUGAAAAUUUUCCACAAUUUAAGGCAAGUCUUCACAAAUUAGAAUUAAUAACUUAAUAAUUUUAUUUGAUGAAACAAGUAUUUAAUAUGUAACUAGAUUUAUCAAUAACAACAUAGUAUAUACAUGAUAUAAACCAAUUUGAAUGCAUAAAAAUAUUACAAAGCCAAAAUAAUUAAUAUUUAAAUACAAAUAACAUUUUUAAUCUGUGAAGUAAUGUUUCAAUUAGCAAUUUAUUACCUUGUUCUUUUGAAAAGACACUAACAAGAUUUAAGAUUUAUUUUAUAGUCCAAAUAGAUAAGACAUUCAAAAUCUAACAAAUGUGUUUACUCCUACAGAUAUCUUUUUAAGAUUUAUGGUAUAAGAAAGUUAAUAUCAAUUUUUCAUUGCUUUAAUGAAUAUUUUUUUCACAACAGGAUUCGCAAGAUACAACACCAUUAGAAGCUGGCAAUUUGAUUACCCCUCAAAAGGCAUGUUCACAUUUUAAAAUUUUGAUAGCUAUAAUAAAUUCAAAAAUAUUUAUUCUUCUGAUGCAUAUUACAAUAAUGUAAUAAUAAACCCAAACUAACUUUUUGAUAAAAGAUGCACAAAUUAUUAAUGUUUGGACUUAACUGUUUUUUACAAUCAUUUCAUUAAGAAUAAAGAACUUCAAUUAACUAAUUUGAUAUACAUAAGAUCCACAAAUAAUCUCACAUUUAUAAUUUUAAACAGAAAGAAAUAUUGCCUGAAGAUACCCCAUCUACUAGUUACAGC